rnacentral:rRNA from 1 species
CCCUUAGAUGUUCUGGGCCGCACGCGCGCUACACUGACGAAUGCAACGAGCUUAUAACCUUGGCCGAAAGGUCUGGGUAAUCUCCAAAUUUCGUCGUGAUGGGGAUAGAUUAUUGCAAUUAUUAAUCUUCAACGAGGAAUGCCUAGUAAGCGCAAGUCAUCAGCUUGCGUUGAUUACGUCCCUGCCCUUUGUACACACCGCCCGUCGCUCCUACCGAUUGAAUGGUCCGGUGAAGCGUUCGGACCGUGGCCUUUGGACGGUUCGCCGUCUGUUGGCUGCGGGAAGUUCGGUAAACCUUAUCAUUUAGAGGAAGGAGAAGUCGUANCA